rnacentral:rRNA from 1 species
UACGAGGGGGGCGAGCGUUGUUCGGAAUUAUUGGGCGUAAAGGGUGCGUAGGCGGUUCCGCAAGUCCUGUGUGAAAUCUUCGGGCUCAACUCGAAGUCUGCACGGGAAACUGCGGGGCUUGAGUGUGGGAGAGGUGAGUGGAAUUCCCGGUGUAGCGGUGAAAUGCGUAGAUAUUGGGAGGAACACCAGUGGCGAAGGCGGCUCACUGGACCGGAACUGACGCUGAGGCGCGAAAGCGUGGGGAGCAAACAGG